GAUUCAUUGUCUUCUCAUUGUCGGAGAAGGAAAGAACGCAGUAGCAGACCUUGAGUUUCAUUUCUCUCAAAUAUUUACUGUGAAAUGAAAUUACUGUACGAGCGAUGGAUCUUGGAGUAUUCUGACUGAAUUUCGUAAUCCCUGAAUAUCGAACUAAUCCAUCGGUGGCUCCUCACCAACCAAAGAAGAAUUUGAAAUCCACAGAAAGUUCGACAGAAAGAAGAACUUACGAAGAUGUACUUGUCGCUAGAGACGACGAUUCGCUUCGUAAAAAUAUCGUCGAAAUUCAUAUUCGGUUGGCCGUUGCCUCUUGGCACUAAGCGUAUCAUCAUCCUGAAACGUCAGAUUUUCAGGUUCUUAGCGAUGGCUCAUAUAAUAAGUAUACUUUUAGCACUGAUAUUCAAUAUUUACCGCAACAGAGAAGACCGCCUCAACUUGUUCUUGUGCAUGACAGAGACGACGGCAAUCUUUGCUGUGAUGGCAUUUAUCUUCAUCUGUCAUAUCGACGAAGACCGCCUUCGAGCAUUGAUAACCGAAAUGACGACGUUCGUGAGUAAUGCUACGGAUCAAGAAUUAGCUGUGAUUCGGUUCUACGUGAGAAAGUGUUCAUUACUCCAUACAAUGGUUAUGGGAGUGAUCUUUCCCGGUGGGAUUGUGUACCUUUUGGGACCCAUUGUACUACCUCAGCCCUUAC